rnacentral:rRNA from 1 species
UACGUAGGCAGCAAGCGUUGUUCGGAGUUACUGGGCGUAAAGGGUGCGUAGGCGGCUUCUUAAGUUUGGUGUGAAAUCUCCCGGCUCAACUGGGAGGGUGCGACGAAGACUGAGGGGCUAGAGUGUGGGAGAGGAAAGUGGAAUUCCAGGUGUAGCGGUGAAAUGCGUAGAUAUCUGGAGGAACACCGGUGGUGUAAACGGCUUUAUGGACCAUUACUGACGCUGAUGCACGAAAGCGUGGGUAGCAAACAGG